ACACCGGCAGCUCAAGUGGUAGCCGCUUUUAUUGGGCCUAAAGCGUCCGUAGCCGGUCUGGUAAGUCUCUGGUGAAAUCCCGCAGCUUAACUGUGGGAAUUGCUGGAGAUACUAUCAUGACUCGAGGUCGGGAGAGGCUGGAGGGACUCCCAGGGUAGGGGUGAAAUCCUGUAAUCCUGGGAGGACCACCUGUGGCGAAGGCGUCCAGCUGGAACGAACCUGACGGUGAGGGACGAAAGCCAGGGGCGCGAACCGGAUUAGAUACCCGGGUAGUCCUGGCCGUAAACGAUGUGGACUUGGUGUUGGGAUGGCUUCGAGCUGCCCCAGUGCCGAAGGGAAGCUGUUAAGUCCACCGCCUGGGAAGUACGGCCGCAAGGCUGAAACUUAAAGGAAUUGGCGGGG
rnacentral:rRNA from 1 species